rnacentral:rRNA from 1 species
AGGAUGAACGCUAGCGGCAGGCUUAAUACAUGCAAGUCGAGGGGCAGCACAGGUAGCAAUACUGGGUGGCGACCGGCAAACGGGUGCGGAACACGUACGCAACCUUCCUUUAAGUGGGGGAUAGCCCAGGGAAACUUGGAUUAAUACCCUUAACAUUAUGAGAUGGCAUCAUUUUAUAAUUAAAGCUCCGGCGCUUAAAGAUGGGCGUG